UAAUUUAAUUCUAGCAUUUAGUUAGGUUUAGUGUUAUCGUAAUCUGAAGCCUUCCAUGUGUUAAAAAAUUCAAUGUUUGCUUAAUACUGGGGGUAAUGCUUCAAUAAUUAUAAUGAAGUUGAUGUCUCAGGAAUUAGAGUUCCUCGGAAUAAGUUCUCGAGUCUUCUAACGUCGAGACAAAUGAACAAUCUUCAGUAUAUCUUUAACAUUUUACCUAAGCACUUUAUGGGCUAAGUUUCCUUACAUAUAAAUAAAUGAAAACACAAAUUCCAA